rnacentral:rRNA from 1 species
UACAGAGGGUGCGAGCGUUAAUCGGAAUUACUGGGCGUAAAGCGUGCGCAGACGGUUGCGUAAGUCAGAUGUGAAAGCCCCGGGCUCAACCUGGGAAUUGCAUUUGAGACUGCGUAGCUGGGGUGCGGAAGAGGGAAGCGGAAUUUCCGGUGUAGCGGUGAAAUGCGUAGAUAUCGGAAGGAACACCAGUGGCGAAAGCGGCUUCCUGGUCCAGCACCGACGUUCAGGCACGAAAGCGUGGGGAGCAAACAGG